rnacentral:rRNA from 1 species
UCUCAGUACCCGCAGGAAGAGAAAACAAUAGUGAUUCCGUGAGUAGUGGUGAGCGAAAGCGGAUUAGCCUAAACCGUGCGCGUGUGAUAGCCGGCAGGCGUUGCGUGUGCGGGGUUGUGGGACCAUCCGGUCGUCUCUGCCGGGACGGCGAGGAGUUACAAACUGCUCGGGUAGUCGAAUGGCAUGGGAAGGCCGACCGUAGACGGUGAGAGUCCGGUAGACGAAAUCCGAGUGGCUUCUGGGUGUGUUCCCGAGUAGCACGGG